rnacentral:piRNA from 1 species
AUGUUGAGGACUGCAGCACUUAAAAUUCAG